rnacentral:rRNA from 1 species
UACGUAGGGGGCAAGCGUUGUUCGGAAUUACUGGGCGUAAAGGGCGCGUAGGCGGUCUUGCAAGUCCUGUGUGAAAUCCCUCGGCUCAACUGAGGAACUGCACAGGAAACUGCUUGGCUUGAGUUCGGGAGAGGGAAGCGGAAUUCCGGGUGUAGCGGUGAAAUGCGCAGAUAUCGGGAGGAACACCGGUGGCGAAGGCGGUUCUCUGGGCCUUACCUGACGCUGAGGAGCGAAAGCGUGGGGAGCGAACAGG